AUCGUACUCCCUCCGUUCGGAAUUACUCGUCCAAGAAAUUAAUGUAUCUAGAUUUAUUUUAGUUAUAGAUACAUUCAUUUUUGUGACAAGUAAUUCCGAACGAAAGGAGUAUAUA
rnacentral:pre_miRNA from 1 species